rnacentral:rRNA from 1 species
UACGUAGGGUGCGAGCGUUAAUCGGAAUUACUGGGCGUAAAGCGCGCGUAGGCGGUUUGAAAAGUCAGAUGUGAAAGCCCCGGGCUCAACUUGGGAACUGCAUUUGAUACUGUCAGACUAGAGUACAGAAGAGGUGACUGGAAUUCCCAGUGUAGCGGUGAAAUGCGUAGAUAUUGGGAGGAACACCAGAUGCGAAGGCGGGUCACUGGGCUGAUACUGACGCUGAUGCGCGAAAGCCAGGGGAGCGAACGGG